rfam:Cavia porcellus supercont2_141 genomic scaffold, whole genome shotgun sequence.
UACCUGGUUGAUCGUGCCAAUAGCAUAUGCUUGUCUCAAAGAUUAAGCCGUGCACUGCCGGUCCAGUGAAACUGUGAAUGGCUCAUUAAAUCGGUUAUGGUUCCUUUGGUCGCUCUCUCCUCUACUUGGAUAACUGUGGUAAUUCUAGAGCUAAUACAUGCCGAAGGGCGCUGACCCCCUUCUGGGGGUGGGUGGGUGGGUGGGUGGAGUGAUGCGUGCAUUUAUUAGAUCAAAACCAACACGGUCAGUUCCCUCUCAGCCCAGCCAGGGGGUGGGUGCCAGUGGCUUGGUGACUCUGGAUAACCUCGGGCAGAUCGCAUGCCCCCCGUGCUGGCAAUGACCCAUUCGAACGUCUGCCCUAUCAACUUUAGAUGGUAGUCGCCGUGCCUAUCAUGGUGACCACGGGUGAUGAGGAAUCAGGGUUCAAUUUCUGAGAGGGAGCCUGAGAAAUGGCUACCACAACCAAGGAAAGCAGCAGGCGCGCAAAUUACCCACUCCUGACCCAGGGAGGUAGUGAGGAAAAAUAGCAAUACAGGACUCUUUUAAACGAGGCCCUAUAAUUGGAAUGAAACCACUUUAAAUCCUUUCGCGAGGAUCCAUUGGAGGGCAAGUCUGGUGCCAGCAGCUGAGAUAAUUCCAGCUCCAAUAGCAUAUAUUAAAGGUGCUGCAGUUUAAAAGGUCUAGUUGGAUCUUGGGAGCAGGUGGGCGGUCAAUAUCAAGAAGAGCCCACUCCCGUUCCCGCCCCUUGCCUCUCGGCACCCUCUCGGUGCUCUUAGCUGAGUGUCCCGUGUGGCCCGAAGCCUUUACUUUGAAAAAAUUAGAGUGUUCAAAGCAGGCCCGAGCCGCCUGGAUACCGCAGCUAGGAAUAAUAGGAUAGGACCGCGGUUCUAUUUUGUUGGUUUUUGGAACUGAGGCCAUGAUUAAGAGGGAUGGCCAGGGGCAUUCGUAUUGUGCCCCUAGAGUGAAAUUCUUGGACCCGUGCAAGACGGACCAAAGCGAAAGCAUUUGCCAAGAAUGUUUUCAUUAAUCAAGAAUGAAAGUCGGAGGUUCCAAGAGGAUCAGAUACUGUUGUAGUUCUGACCAUAAACCAUGCCGACCGGCGAUGCUGUGGCAUUAUUCCCAUGACCCGCCUGGCAGUUUCCAGGAAACCAAAGUCUUUAGAGUCUGGGGGGAGUAUGGUUGCGAAGCUCAAACUUAAAGGAAUUGACGGAUUGGCACCACCAGGAGUGGAGCCUGCCGCUUAAUUUUACUCAACACAGAAACCUCACCCGGCCCGGACAUGGACAGGAUUGACACAUUGAUAGCUCUUUCUGGAUUCCGUGGAUGGUGGUGCACGGCCUUUCUUGGUGGAGUGAUUAGUAUGGAUAAUUCCUAUAAUGGAGACUCAGGCAUGCUAACUAGUUAAGCGACCCCUUAGUGGUUGGCGUCCCCCAACUUCUUAGAGGGACAAGUGGUGUUCAGCCACCCGAGAUGGAGCAAUAGCAGGUCUGUGAUGCCCUUAGAUGACCGCUACACCGGCAGGCAUGGGUAACCCGUUGAACCCCAUCCAUGAUGGGGAUCCGGGAUUGAAAUUAUUCUCCACGAACAAGGAAUUCCCAGUAAGUGCAGGUCAUAAGCUUGCAUUGAUUAAGUCCCUGCCCUCUGUACACACCACCCAUUGCUACUACCUAUUGGAUGGUUUAGUGAGGCCCUCAGAUGGGCCCAGCCGGGGUUGGCCCACGGCCCUGGUGGAGCGCUGAGAAGACUAUCAAACUUGACUAUCUAGAGGAAGUCAAAGUCAUAACAAGUUUUCCUUAGGUGAACCUACGGAAGGAUCAUUA